GACGAACCGUGCGAACGUUAUUCGGAAUCACUGGGCUUAAAGCGCGUGUAGGCGGGAGGGUACGUCCGUCGCUGAAAUCCCCCGGCUCAACCGGGGAACGGGCGCGGAUACGACCUUCCUGGAGGGGCGUAGGGGGACCUGGAACUUCCGGUGGAGCGGUGAAAUGCGUUGAGAUCGGAAGGAACGCCCGUGGCGAAAGCGAGGUCCUGGACGCCUACUGACGCUGAGACGCGAAAGCCAGGGGAGCGAACGGG
rnacentral:rRNA from 1 species